rnacentral:rRNA from 1 species
UGCGAUACGUAAUGCGAAUUGCAGGAUUCAGUGAGUCAUCGAAAUUUUGAACGCAUAUUGCACUUCCGGGUUAGUCCUGGGAGUAUGCCUGUAUCAGUGUCCGUACAUCAAACUUGGCUUUCUUCCUUCCGUGUAGUCGGUGGAGGAUGUGCCAGAUGUGAA